rfam:Operophtera brumata OBRT01_Sc02170, whole genome shotgun sequence.
CACGAGGCCUUUUUCAAGGCCACUAUAUGUACCUCAAGCAAGAAUU